UGAGUGUGGACUUACGUUGUUAAUGUGAAAU
rnacentral:piRNA from 1 species